rnacentral:rRNA from 1 species
GGUUGAUCCUGCCGGAGAUCACCGUUAUCGGGAUUCGGCUUAGCCAUGCGAGGCGCGAGCUAUUUGGGCUCGCCGAACUGCUCAGUAACACGUAGCUAACAUAACCUCAAGUAGAGGAUAAUCUUGCAAAAGUGAGGCUAAUACUCUAUAGCUGUUGGAUGCUGGAAUGCUUCAACAAUUAAAGCUACGGCGCUUGAGGAUUGGGCUGCGACCUAUCAUGGCUGUUGUGAGUGUAAAGUACUCACAAACCUAUAACGGGUAGGGGUCAUGAAAGUGAGAGCCUCGAGAUGCCUUCUGAGACAUGAAGGCAGGUCCUACGGGACGCAGCAGGUACGAAAACUUUCCAAUUCCUGAAAGGGUGAGAAGGGAAUCCUGAGUGAUUAUGCAAUACAUAAUCUUUUAUCUUGUCUAAAAAGCAAGGUGAAUAAGUGGUGGGUAAGACGGGUGGCAGCCGCCGCGGUAAUACCCGCGCCACAAAUGGUGAUCGCUUUUAUUUGGUCUAAAGGGUCCGUAGCCGGUUCAACAAGUUCUUGGUGAAAUCUGAUAGCUAACUAUCAGGCUUGCUGAGAAUACUAUUGAACUUGGGAUUGGGAAAGGAUAGGGGUAUUCCUUGUGUAGGGGUUAAAUCCUUUAAUCCAUGGAAGACCUCCGGUGGCGAAGGCGCCUAUCUGGAACAAGUCCGACGGUGAGGGACGAAAGCGUGGGGAGCAAACGGGAUUAGAUACAAACAUUCUAAUCCAAUGAUUCAAAGAUGAUUGGGUGUUUGCUAGAAACCCCGAUAGUCCAUGCUGUAAACGAUGCCCGCUUGUUGUUGCAAGCUCUACGAGAGCUUGCAGUGUCGGAGCGUAGGUGUUAAGCGGGCCACCUGGGGAGUACGGCCGCAAGGUUGAAACUUAAGGGAAUUGGCGGGAGAGCACACAAGGGGUGGAGGCUGCGGUUUAAUUGGAKUCAACGCCGGR